UACAUGAGAAGAAGAAGCAUCUCACAAGGACAGCUUGGUUCUUCUCCCAUCACAAGAAUAGAUAGGAUAAUCAUGGCAGAGCAGUUCUAUUCCUUUUUAAAUAUACAAAAGGCUGCCAGGCAAACAGUAUCUUUCCAUUCUAGAACCGGAAUUUGUAAUAACUGGAAUAAAUUUCAAAUGACUGGUUUGAAAUCAAGAAUCCAGCAGAUAAGGCAAGCAUUUCAGCAUCUCUAAAUGCUAAAUCUUUCACUUUCUUUCUUUGGCUCUGUAAAUGAUCUUUGCCAAGGCUUAAUUUGAGAAACAGAAGGGGGAAAUAUACUACGUUGACUGGAGAAGAAUCUUCAUCCUAGAAAUAGAGCAACUUGAACAGGAAACUACAGACACAUGGACAAAAAUAAGACACCCUUCAUUUUGAGAAUCUUCUGGAAAAGCUUAAAAAAUCAUAGAUUCUGCCAAGUUUAAGAAAACAAACUCAUUAAGAAAAAUAGUGGUGCAAGAUCAAAAGAUAAUUCCCCAGUUUCCAAGGACCUGCAAUCUAUCUAUUCUCUCAACAGAAAAAGAGAUACUUCUCCAAGGAAAAUCAAUGUGAAUGCAGUGUCACAGUCUUCUUUUUUAGAAGGGCAGAAGAACUAUGGAAGCUCUUUAGCACUACAUAAAUAUAAUUAUGAAAGCUG